GAAAGAACAGUGGAGCCCGCGGACACAACUCUCACCGAGGGUACACCAUUUCUCUCUCUCUCUCUCUCUCUCUCUCUCUCUCUCUCUCUCUCCUUACAGUUUCAUUCUCUCCGUUUUUAUAUAAACCAUAUUUCACUUUAGUAGAUUUUUUCAGUCCUUUAUGAUCAGAGUGCAUUUAACCAAAGUUUGAUAUUCUGUGUAAAAAAGAGCUCCGGAAGGAUCAGAGCUAGAAACCUGUGAUGGUGUGAAAUGAAAAGUGUAGCAGAAGUAAUGAAUGUGUGUAAUAGAGACUGUGCUAACUGCUUGGUGAUGUGAUGUUUUGCUACUGGUUUGUAUUUAGACCCAGUACAGACCCAGCUCUCUUUAGUAGAUUCUUUGCUGGAUCCAGGCUUGAUGUCUGAUAUGGAUGGUGUCAGUGUCACACAGACUGACAGAGCUGUCCCUCAGUCCGACAUGAUGGCACAGAUGAACACACUACGAGGCUCAGUGCAGCAGCUGGAGGAAGAGCUGUCUGAGACACACAGGCUCUUUGACAAGAUAACGAGGGUAAGUGAGAAUCCUUGCAAUAAGCACUUUUAGUAUAAGAUGCUAAUUUAUUUAUUGUAGAUGUGACCAUUAAACACUUUGUACCUUCUGCUUCUGCUUCUGCUUCAUGGCUGUGUUUUAGGAAAGGGAGCGAGAGCAAGAGGAACACAGUAUCCUGAAAUCUAAGUAUAAUGAGAUGAGAGAAACUUUACAACAGCAGAAUGAGUUACUAAAGGAAUAUGAGCAAGAGCAGGAGGCUCAUAGUAUCCUGAAUUCGUUGUGCGAUUGUAUGUCAAACAACGAGAAGUCACUAAAGGUCUCUCUGGCUGAAGCUGAGAGGAAAUAUGAGCAGGCGAUGGAGUCCA
ensembl:lncRNA